UACGUAGGGUGCGAGCGUUAAUCGGAAUUACUGGGCGUAAAGCGUGCGCAGGCGGUUUUGUAAGCCAGAUGUGAAAGCCCCGGGCUUAACCUGGGAAUGGCAUUUGGGACUGCAAGGCUUGAGUGCGGCAGAGGAGACUGGAAUUCCUGGUGUAGCAGUGAAAUGCGUAGAGAUGUGGAGGAACACCGAUGGCGAAGGCAGCCCCCUGGGCUAACACUGACGCUCAUGCACGAAAGCGUGGGGAGCAAACAGG
rnacentral:rRNA from 1 species